AUUGGAAAGAUGUAAUGAGUAAAGGAAAAAAGAAUAUGAACCAUGAGUCAAGGAAAAACAAUAUAAUUGAUGUGUGUAUCUGAUAAAAUAGUCCACCCCCCCAUAUUUGACGAUUUGUCCCCUUGUAAACAAGCAUACCUAUCCUAACUAGGGGCACAUGGUUGCUUCCAUGAUCAACAAGGUAAUACCCUUUUCCCUUCUGUCUCCACUUAAAAUAGUCCUUAGCCUAAUACUAGAAAAGACACCCAGAAAUGGAAUUGCCUGCUAAACAUUUGUUUGCAGAGUAGCAACUAAACGAUUGAGAUUUGAGGGAGUCUUGUAUUUUGCUGAAGGGAGAAUUCUAUUAGUGGUAAAACUGCUCAUGUUCUUCUAGACUUUACGUAUGGACUUCUUUCAAAGGUCAUUACUAGAUUCCCUUACAUUAUAUCAUGUUCUGUGUUUCUUUCAUUUCCAUGGAUAUGAUGAUUAUAUAUUUUGAAACUUAGGUCAACCUUGCAUGAAAUUUCAUGAAGAUACAGCAUAUAAACAAAAUUGCAAAGAAAGAUUGGAUUUCAGGUUGAAUAUUGCCAUUAGAGUUGACAUACCUGAAUUAUGGAAGUCAAGUGUGUGAAUAAAAUCCUGGGGUUCUGUAUGGUGAGGACCUUAACGCUGGUUGCUUGCUUGGUAGCUUUCCCAACUGUAAUCAAGCCCUCUGUGAGUUAUCAAGUUCACGUGUUCAAUCUACUCGAGGGAUUUGAUAAAGUCAAGAUCCUGGGAGGAAUAGCUCAAAAUUUUGCUCAAUUUUAUGUUGGCAUUUCUGAUGACAAGCUGCUUGGUGGACUACUAGAUUCAGGAUUUGAUGAAGAAUCCUGCUUAUGCAGAUACCAGUCUGUCCUAUACCGCAAACCUUCCACUAAAAAGCCCUCUUCUUUCCUCCUUUCCAAACUACGCGAUUAUGAAAAUCUUCACAAGCGCUGUGGACCUUACACGAAGUCUUAUAACAGAACACUCAAUUUGCUUGAUUCCAGGAAGAUUUCUAGUUCAUCCCAGUGCAAUUACAUGGUCUGGAAAGCUCAAGCAGGAUUGGGGAACAGGAUAUUAACCAUGACUUCAGCAUUUCUCUAUGCUUACCUUACAAAUAGAUUUUUUGCUUGUUGAACAUGAAUCUGACAUGGUUGAUCUCUUCUGCGAGCCAUUUCCAAAUGCA
rnacentral:misc_RNA from 1 species